CCAACAUCAAGUGAAGCAGUUUUCUGCUUUACCUGGAGAUGGAAGUUGGUAGAAUGUUGGCAGGCCCCUAAUCCCAUAGUUAUGGAGAACGCCAGUUGAACUGCCUUUCUAGGCUGCCAGACUCCUCCCAAGCCACAUCAUCUGGAGUAGCGACCUGAGAAGGCUACAGGUGCAGGUUAGGCAGAGGAAUACUUUGCCCCAGAAUUCAAGAAUUCACUAGCAACUGCUGCAGGUAUUCUGGAGUGUUCUAGAAGAGCUGCACAUACAGGAUAACCACAAAGGGGACAGAGUUUUCCAGAGAAACUGAACCAACAGGAAGUGUGUGUAUGUACAAACAAGGAGAGAGAGAGCACUUUGUUUGAAAGAAUUGGCUCACAUAAUUGUGGGAUCUGGAAAGUCUGUAAUCUGCAAGGCAACCAGCAGGCUGGAGACCCACAGAAGAGUUGACAUUGAAUCUUCCAGUGUGAAAGCCUUUUGGAGGAAGAAUUCCUUCUCAAGAGACCUUAGCCUUUUCUCUCACACCUUCAGCCGCCUGGAUGAGGCCCAUCCACAUUAUCCAUCUCUACAAAAAUCCUAGCACCAGCAAUUGAUUCUAUGUCCUCGACUUUGGCCACUCAACCUGUACAUCUAUCUGGGUCGAAGAAGUGGAGUAAGAAUAGAGCAGGGAUGCAAAAGCAGGUGUCCAUUAUGUGCCAGAUGCUGUGUUUGGUCCAAGAAUAGGAAGUCAACGUCACAGACCCUGCUUUCAAAAAGCUCAUGUCUACGGAGAGUAUGAAAAGAACAUGAGAGUUUUUGCCUACGCAUAGGCAAAGAUGGUUCUGGCUACCCAUCUCGGACCUUCUCAGACCAAGCAGAGCUGCAGCCUCUGGGCUUGUCUUACCUUGUAAUGCAUUUGGAAAGCACCAUAUUCUCAGGAAUAGAAAAGACUGUCUGCCCUGAGAACUUUGGGCUCUGACAUGAGAUGUGGAGACAGCCUUGCGGAGACUUCUUAGCCAGCUGCCAUAGUUAGGAUGCAUAUAUGGUAUGUGGGAACUGGCACUAGUCUGUGUCCUGUGUGAACAUCAGGAAUCAAGCAGUGGUGGAUGGGGACCAUGAAAUCCAAACUAGCUGAAAUGUUUAUGCAUUGCUCGAACUCCAAAAUGCUGGUCAGUAGUUCUUUUCCUGCUAUGUCUUUACACCUUCAAAUUAGUCCAUUUUUUUCUCCACGUUUCAUUGUCAAACAAGACUUUGUAGAAAAAUGUAAGUAAUAAACUUCUUUUCAUCAUAAAACGACAGAGUUUUGUUGGAUAACUAAAAGAAGAAGGCAAUGUGUGUCUCUCACAGUGUUUAAUAGGGUACGUUCCUUAGACAGAACUUUGAUAACUUGUGAUCUCAGGAAAAAGAGACAGGUAGGCAAAGCAAAUGAGAAUCAUGUUUGAAGGCUUUAAAAAAAUCAGGA